CAGAUAUAUGAUAAUCCUUGGAAAGAAGAUAUGCAGAUUUUUUUCCUGUUCUAUGGGUUAUCUUUUUACUUUCUUGAUAGUAUCCUUUUGAAGCACAAAAGCUUUUAGUGUUGAUAAAGUCCAGCGUACCUAUUUUUCAUUGUUUACUUAUUUGUUGGCUGUCAUAUAAGAAACCAUUGCCUGAUCCAAAGAUUUAUACCUGUUUCCUUCUAAGAGUUACUUUUAGGUCUUUGAUCCAUUUUGAGUUCAUUUUUUAUAUGGUGUGAGGUAGGGGUCCAACUUUCUUCUUUUGCAUGGGACUGUUCGCUUAUCCCAGCACCAUUUGUUGAAAAGACUAUUCUUUCCCCACUGAAAUGUCUUGGGCUGCAAAUCAGCUGCCCAUAAAUGUAUGGGUUGUUCGCCAAUGUUUGACUAGCAUGUCUUGAAAUGUUGUUUGGGUUUAUGAUGUAGAUAAGAGCACACAGCUCAGCCAGAAGACAUUAAGGUAGAAACUUGAGUUCUAAAAUCCUUAUGGAAAUGAGCCCACAUUAAGGGGAGUUUGGCACGUCUUCUGACCCAGUGUAAACCAUUAGGGCAGAUAUGGGCAAUCUCUUGGGCCCCGGGUAGCUUUGUUGUUGUAGGAAUCUGUAUUCGCCCGUGACAUACUCUAUCGGUUCAUAAACAAAGGAGGAGACAGCAAAUAGUUCUAGUUCAGAAACAGAAUGUGGAUUCUCAGAAGCCUCAGGAGAAGGGGAGCAGCCACUAGCCAGUGCACAUUUUAGAAGGCCCAGAGUAGUUUUCAUGUGCGUGCGUGUGUGUGUGCGUAUGUAAAGACAGUAACACUGGCUCCCCGUAGUCCCUGAAGCACCACUGAAGGGCAGGAAGAGGCAGUACCAUUGGAAGAGUGAGCAGGUGCACACCCCAUGUAUACUUGCGUGCACACUCCUGCACCCCGUGUACACUGAUCUCCGGCAGCAGGUCCUGGGAACAGGAGGCAUCUGGGACCCCACAUACGGCCCAGCUCUGGUGGACCAGCGCUUGCACCGGAGAUCCCGGGCCCCGCAGUUCCCUUGGCCGCCCACUCUACCUCAGUCCCAGCUGGGGAGAAACUUUGUGAGGUGUGUCAGAGGAAGGCUUGUGUGGUAUUGUCGGAAUUCAGCAAAGCCCAGGUAAACUCUGUGCCAACCAACGGACUGAGCGGACUGAGUGGAGAAAUGGAGAUUCCCACGGGGCGGGCCUCACUCCCCCUCCCCGGCCUGGAGGCCAGCAUCCCUUUUGAUGUGCCCGCAGAGCCCCUCCCGCCCCAAGCAUCCUCUGGGACUCAAGAUGGGGACCGCAAGCAGGAGCCGCCUCCCCAGGCACCUGGCACCCUGGGCUUGCUGCAGUUGGGCACUGCCAAAGCUGUCCCCUCGGUGAGCAUUUUAGACCAGAGGCCUUCCAGUCCCGUGGGAGAGGCGGCGGCCAGAGCAUUCAGCCCGGGGAACGGCCAGCAGAAGUCUGUGGAGGAUGACGGAGCUGCACGGAGCCUUGGGGUGUCCUCACCCACCAGCCCGAUUUGCUAUUCCGGACAUUUCACAGAAAUGGAAUCAUGUAAUAUGCAGCCUUUGGUGACUGGCUUCUUCCAAUUAACAUACUGUUUUCGGGAUUCAUCGUUGUUGGAGCCUGAUCUGUGCUUCAGGGAGUAAUAAUUCAUUGUAGAUUCCUUUGUAUGAACCCGUCACAUUUUAUUUUGUCCUUCAUCAGUUGAUAGACUUUUGUUUUUUUCCCCCCAUUUUUUUGGCUAAUAUAAAUAACACAGCCAUGAACAUUCAUGUACAAGUUUUUGUGUGGGUAUAUUUUUGAUUGUCUUGGAUGUAUACCCAGCAGCAAAAUCUCUGGGUCACAUGGUAACUCUAUAUUUAACUUUCUGAGGAACUA